rnacentral:lncRNA from 1 species
UGGUGGCUAUGCUGGUGGAUAUGCUGGGAAUGAAAGCGGUGGUGGUUACGCAGCGAAAGGAAGCGGAAACGGUGGUGGUAGAGGAUAUGGAGGUAACGAUGGUGGAGGUUACGGUGGAAGGAGUGGAUAUGGUGGAAACGAUGGCGGAGGAUAUGGUGGAAGAGGUGGUGGCGGUAGAGGAGGUGGUGGUGGUGGUGGAGGAUAUGGAGGUCGAGGUUUGUUAUUUUGAUCUGUAAUUUGUUUUCUUUUUUAGUUAAUUUUCAAUCUUAUCGUGUCUUUAAUUUCUGUGGAUUGAUGUGAACUUAAACAGGUGGCGGUGGCGGUUUUCAAGGUGGAGAUCGCGGUGGCCGAGGUGGAGGUGGUGGCCGUGGUGGAAGUGGCAGAGAUGGAGAUUGGCGUUGCCCUAACGAAAGGUAUUUGAUUUUUUUCUGCCAAAAAUUUAUGAUUUUCACUAGUAUUUUUUAUUAAAAUGAACAAUCAAUUUAGUCUCCAAACUAUGUAAAUAUAAUUAGUAGUCCUAAAUUAUGUAAAGCCCAUCAGUUUAGUUCCUGCACUUAAGAUAUUAGGGGCAAAAAGGACGGAUUUUAAUGUACAUUUAGAGACUAUAUUAACGAAUUUUAUAUAGUUUAGGGACAACUUAUUAUAUUUACAUAGUUUAAGGAUUAAAUUGAUGGGUUUCAUAUAGCUUAGGGAAAACUUAUUAUAUUUACAUAGUUUAGAGACUAACUUGAUGGAUUUUAUGUACUUUAGGGAAUAAAUUGACGAAGUUCACAAAGUUUAGGAAAUACUUAUUAUGUUUACAUAGUUUAGGUGCUAAAUCGGAGAGAGUGAUAGUUUAGGGACUAAAUUAAUGAUUUAUUUUUUCACUUAACUUUAUUGCUGUUGAUUUGAUUCUUACGUUUCUUAUCUGAUUCAAUAUUGUUAUUUAUAUAGUUGUGGGAACAAUAACUUCGCUAGAAGGAGUGAAUGUAACAAAUGUGGUACCCCAUGUCCUACCAGUGGUAAUGACCGCGGUGGCGGCGGCGGCGGCGGUGGGUAUAAUAGAGGAGGAAGUGGUGGAGGAUAUGACAGUAACCGAGGAGGUAGGUCUGAGAACUAUGGAGGUAGAACUAGUGAUUAUAAUGGUGGAAGGGGUAAUAACAAUGAUGGAAGAAGUGGAGGGAGCAAUAGGGGUGGCUCGUAUGGCGGGAAUCAAGGCAGAGAAGAUGGUGGCUAUGGUCAAGCACCUCCUGUUGCUGCUGCUCAGUCUUAUGGUGGUGCUGGUGGAAACUAUCCACCUACCUAUGGUGGGAAUGCAAAUUAUGGAACAGAUGCCGUUCCUCCACCUACAAGUUAUACCGGUGGACCUAAUUCAUAUCCUCCUUCAUAUGGGGGUAACACGGGUGGUUAUGGUGGAGGUGAUGCACGGAGUGGUGGCAGGGCUGUGCCUCAAGCUGGAUAUGACAGUGGUAAUCGUGGUGGAUUUGGUGGAGCUCCUGCUGAGCCAGCUCCAGCGGCUCCGGUGAAGCAGUGCGAUGAGAAUUGUGGAGAUACAUGUGACAACUCUAGAAUCUAUAUCUCAAAUUUACCACC